CAUGUAAUAGUCUAAUAGACCUUUCCGCAGAAAGAGCGUACAAUAAUGAGUGCAUAGAUUUAGUUGUAUAGAAGUCCCAAGAAAGAAACUUCAGAUUUUCUUUAUUGAGAACCAAAUAACCAAUCGCAUUAAUCGUUUACAAAGAUCAAGCGGUACACUGGCUUCCUGGGAAAGGUCUAUUCGGACGUAUAACCACGCGAAAUAUGACAGUGUUCUUACACUGAUGUAUGUAAUAGAUUCUAAUUUUAUCCAAUCAUAUAGGAUGGUUCGUGAACAUAAUGUAUGGCGUGACAUUCAAGCUACUGUUAGUACUGUAUCUGUCUAAAAGCCAAGUCAGAAUCUCGACUGCGCAUCCAAAUGACGUGUUCUGCGUCGAGAUAAAUUGCAGUUGAAUCAUAACAUGUGUAUAUACCAUAUAUAUAUACCAUAUAUAUAUUAUACAAUUACUUUAUGGUUGCCGUGUUUGGAUGGCCUGAUCCAAACACGCGGGAAUGUUGCGAGAGUUAAGAAAAGCGCCGCAAAGCACGAGCCGAAGGCGAGUGAUUUUGCACGCUUUUCUUAACUCGAGCUAGAAACAUUCCCAAGUGUUUGGAUCAGGCCAUCCUAACAGGGAAACCAUAAAGUAAUUGUUUUAUAAAAUAACAACAACACG
rnacentral:lncRNA from 1 species